rnacentral:sRNA from 1 species
GGGUUACUCCUUUGCGCUUUCAGCGCUCAAUUUGAUAAAGAUUCGCACCUCUAUCAAACCGGGUAACCCCGCUUUUCGCAAGGCCCUACUGUCAGAUUAAAUCUGAACUACUACAUCUAAUCGCUGCUAUGAUUUUUGGAGGAUCGGCUGCUACAGCAGACGCCUCUUCCGUCAUUACCGGAGUUACAGCAA